rnacentral:misc_RNA from 1 species
AAGUCGUAACAAGGUUUCCGUAGGUGAACCUGCGGAAGGAUCAUUAAUGAAAGAUAAUUUUUUGGGGUUUUCCCUGAAAAAUAAUUCACCUUUUGUGCAUUGUUAUUAGAUAUACUUUGGUUAGAGCUUUGAUUUCAUUUUUUGAAAUCAACUUCUUGCUGACUCUAUCCUAUUAUAUGGGACAGUUGGCUAUUGAAGCGGCCUACCAAGGUUUUUUUAUCAAACUCUUGUAUUUUGUCUGACCUGUAAACAAAUAAUUAAAUCAUAACUUUCAACAACGGAUCUCUUGGCUCUC